UUCUGCUGAUGAAGUCUCGCUCUCUCGUCGUCCAAUCAGAUUGAGGAACUACCAUUGCAGCGUGAACAGGGCAGGACGCACCUAUUCCGGUUGCACAAUUCCGAGAAAGGACAGGCGAAAUCUAAGACCACCAAGGGAAAACUGACAAUCUAUGGGAUGUUGUCAAUGGGAUGCCAUGGUUUAACAAUGCACGAUCAGCGGGGGUCGUGGAUCCAGGGGCUGCCAGGGUACAGAAAAAGAUGGCGAUGGCCGACCAUGGGAGCCAGCUGUCGACAAGGUGGCUCGGCUGGCAGUGCUCUGAGCUCCCAGGAGGAAACAGAGCUGUUUGAAGAGGACACUGAAGGAUGACAAGGAACAGCUGGAGAAGAAGUGGACGACAGUCAACAGAAUUCUCCUCCAUACGGUACCGUGUACGUUCCACCUCCUGCCUCACAUGAAUCAGCUUGAGAUGAAAUUCAUACAGUCAGCAUCGUAUCACCCGAUACAUCAAUUUCUGGCGGGAAUUAUCAUCAUUCCAUCCAGGAGCACACUGGAUCACCAGUAAUGUGAAGGAAGUACUCAGCCAGAAGAAGAGGGCCUUCUGAUCUGGUGAAAGAGAGGAUAUAGCGCCAAAUCAAGGACGCUCUCAAGAGACUGCAGGAAAAGGCGAUGAAAGAGAAGAGAUGGACUCUUAUAGAGGGACGGGCCCAAGAGAGAAAAAGGACUAGCAAAUCGUCCUUGGUGAUCAGUGCUCGCUCGUCUGUUCCUUUUCUUUGCCCACGAGGAUGAAGGAAGAAAGGAGGUCCACAGAGCUACUUUCAAGCUCUAGAUUGAGACGAUUUCUUCCCUCUUUGAACGAGUGACCUCCUUGACAUGUUUGCAAUCAAACAAAAACCUGGAAAAAUGCAACAAUACAGCGAAACACAAACGCACACGGUAAGAAACACCUAAUAGGUGUCCAACAAUAUAUCACUUUACUGCAGAACUUUGUCACAUAAAUCCUGCUACGUCCUCCCUCUCUGACGCUCCUUCCUAAACAGACACUCUUUCUAUCAAAGUAUCGUCUUCUCUGAGCUGCUGUGAUGCAGUCCUUUGGCUUUCCGUAAUGAAUGCAAUAUCAUUAAAAAGUGCAAAGUUCUAAUUUUUCAAACCGUAUUUGUGUCCCGCUUUUGUAGUUAUAGUUGGAGCUGUAGGGCACACCUGCUUCCGAUCAGUAGUUAGUAGUUCUUUAUUUCACUGUACUGCUUAAGUCCACUGUAUUCUACAUAGGUGCAAUCCUUUUCUGAGACCGCUUUGUACUUCCACAUAUUUCUGUGUAUCCCUGUACACAUUACGGGUGUCCUGUUUCGUAUUUGUUGAUUAUGUUUACCUGCCUUUCUUCAGAUGUGUGUAAGUUUUGAUAGUCCCUGAGUUUUCCCACAAUGCCUUCAGUUAUUCUAGUUUUCACCGGCAAUUUGUGUUGCCUUACCUCCCUCUGGUGUUUUUUGGACUUCGCCG